GUUUCUGUAGUGUAAUGUUAUCACGCUUGCCUAACACCUGUGGUCCUCGGUUCAAACCGGCAGAAACA